UUUUGGGGUCAACGGGGAUUUUUGAAGAGCAGAAGUGUGAUUUUCACGUUAAAUGGGGGAUUUUCCACGAGAAAAUGUGUGAAUUUGUGGAUAAUGGGGUAUUUUUGAAGAGAUAAUGCAUGAUUUUGGGGUAAAUGUGGGAUUUUCCAAGAGAAACGUUAAGAUUUUCGGGUAGAAUGGGGGACUUUGCAAGAGAAAUUGUGUGAUUUUGGGAUAAAGGGGGAUUUUGCAAGAGAAAUGUGUGAUUUUUGUUUAAAUGGGGUAUUUUUGAAGAGAUAAUGCAUGAUUUUGGGGUAAAUGCGGGAUUUUCCAAGAGAAAAGGCGAGAUUUUGGGGUUGAAUGGGGGACUUUGCAAGAGAAAUUGUGCGAUUUUGGGGAUAAAAGGGGGAUUUUUGAAGAGAAAAUGUGUGAUUUUGGGGAUGAAUCAGGGAUUCUCAAAGAGAAAAUGCCUCAUUUUCGGGUUAAAUGGGGGACUUUGGAAGAGAAAUUGCAUUUUCUUCUUGUCAAAUGGGGGAUUUUCGAAGAGCAACUGCAUGAUUUUCGUUUACAUGUGAGAUUUUUGUAGAGGAAAUGCGUGAUUUUUUGGAAACAUGGGGGACUCUUGUAGCAAAAAAGUUUGAUUUUGGGGUCAAACGGGGGAUUUUUGAAGAGCAGAAGUGUGAUUUUCACGUUAAAUGGGGGAUUUUCCACAGAAAAUGUGUGAAUUUGUGGAUAAUGGGGUAUUUUUGAAGAGAUAAUGCAUGAUUUUGGGGUAAAUGUGGGAUUUUCCAAGAGAAACGUUAAGAUUUUCGGGUAGAAUGGGGGACUUUGCAAGAGAAAUUGUGUGAUUUUGGGGAUUAAAGGGGGAUUUUCGAGAAAAUGUGUGAUUUUUGUUUAAAGGGGUAUUUUUGAAGAAGAUAAUGCAUGAUUUUGGGGUAAAUGCGGGAUUUUCCAGGAGAAAAGGCGAGAUUUUCGGGUAGAAUGGGGGACUUUGCAAGAGAAAUUGUGUGAUUUUUGGGAUAAAAGGGGGAUUUUUGAAGAGAAAAUGUGUGAUUUUUGUUUAAAUUGGGGGAUGUUGCAAGAGUAAAUGCUAAAGGCGAGGCGAGGCAUGCGUGGUGAGGUGAGGCGAGGUGAGGAAGGCUGAGACGAGGCGGGGCGAGGCAAGGCGAUGUGUGGCAAGGUGAGGCAAGGUGAGGAAGGGUGAGACGAGGCGGGGCUAGGCGAGGCGUGGCAAGGUGAGUUGAGUCAAGGCGAGGCAUAGCUAGCCAAGGCGAGGCGAGGCGGGGCGAGGUGGAGUGGGCUGAGGUGAGGAGGGGCGAGGCAAUGCGAGUCGUGGCAAGGCGAGGUGAGUCGAGGUGAGGCAUAGCUAGCCAAGGCGAGGCGAGGCGGGGCGAGGUGGAGUGGGCUGAGGCGAGGCGAGGCGAGGCAUAGCAAGCCAAGGAGAGGCAAGGUGAGGCGGGGCGAGGCAUGACGAGGCGUGACGAGGCGAGGCGAGGUGAGGUGAGGC
ensembl:lncRNA